GGUGUGGGGAGCCAUAGCCCCGUCCCCGAGGGCAUGAAGCAGGCAUGAAGGAGAUCCAGGCCCCAGACAUCCAGAGGCCUUGACUGAAUGAAUCAUCUCUUUAAUGAUGCUUGUUGACUGUGAAUGUGUCUUUAUCAGAUCCCAAACACUCAGACAUUGUUAAAGUUGUUGUCAUCACACUGGUCGCCCUGCUGGUCAUUGUACUCAUGAUCCUUGGUCUUCAUCUCUAUUGUCAGGUCAACAGACAGUAGAACAUCCAGCUGACUGACUGAAAACUCUGUGUUUGAGCCGCUGGAGGAAGGCCAGGAACAAGUUCAGCCCGCAGAGGAGGACCUCCAAGGAGCUCGAAAGCAUGUUUGGACAGAGCAUUGUCUUAUUUCUACACCAUCUCUUUUGUCCUCCAUCCUCCUGUCUGUGAGCCAGAAACACAAGUUCAGCAGGGCUGUGUAGAGAUGUUUGAAAGAUCAGGUGCUCAAAGUUAAAAAGGGGCACAUAGAACCAGGCUGAAUAACAACAACCGACAUUCAUCAAGAAUCUAAUAUGGAAUCACAUCAUACUAUAUCAUUGUCAUCAGGUGGGGACAAUGCAAAGCAAACAUAGCUUAUAUUUUACCUAUAUUUUACAGUGAUGCAGUUGAGAGGUUACUGCUGCUCCUGCUGCUGCUCCUGCUGGACAGCAGGGCUGUGUUGAUCUGAGACUGGAGACAUUAAAAAGUCCAUAGGAGAAAUGGUAGCUGAUUAAACAAGUGUUAUUAGAUGAUAAUAAAAUGCAAAGAUUGGUGACAGUGCUUGAAGUCAUAAAGCAAGUGAUUGAAAAAACAGUGGGAAAUAAAGUAGGCUCUGCCUGUGAAUCAC